GACGAACGCUGGCGGCGUGCUUAACACAUGCAAGUCGAACGGUGAAGGGGCCUGCUUUUGUGGCCCCUGGAUGAGUGGCGAACGGGUGAGUAACACGUGAGUAACCUGCCCCCUUCUUCUGGAUAACCGCAUGAAAGUGUGGCUAAUACGGGAUAUUCUGGGUCUGUCGCAUGAUGGGUCUGGGAAAGAUUGCGCCUUUGGGUGUUUUUGGUGGGGGAUGGGCUCGCGGCCUAUCAGCUUGUUGGUGGGGUGAUGGCCUACCAAGGCGGUGACGGGUAGCCGGCCUGAGAGGGUGGACGGUCACACUGGGACUGAGACACGGCCCAGACUCCUACGGGAGGCAGCAGUGGGGAAUAUUGCACAAUGGGCGCAAGCCUGAUGCAGCGACGCCGCGUGAGGGAUGGAGGCCUUCGGGUUGUAAACCUCUUUCGCCAGUGAAGCAGGCCUGCUCCUUGUGGGUGGGUUGACGGUAGCUGGAUAAGAAGCGCCGGCUAACUACGUG
rnacentral:rRNA from 1 species